UACAGAGGUCUCAAGCGUUGUUCGGAUUCAUUGGGCGUAAAAGGUGUGUAGGUGGCGCUGUAAGUCGGGUGUGAAAUCUCGGGGCUUAACUCCGAAACUGCAUUCGAUACUGCGGUGCUUGAGGACUGGAGAGGAGACUGGAAUUCAUGGUGUAGCAGUGAAAUGCGUAGAGAUCAUGAGGAAGACCAGUGGCGAAGGCGGGUCUCUGGACAGUUCCUGACACUGAGACACGAAGGCCAGGGGAGCAAACGGG
rnacentral:rRNA from 1 species